rnacentral:rRNA from 1 species
GAUGAACGCUGGCGGCGUGCCUAAUACAUGCAAGUCGAGCGAACGGACGAGAAGCUUGCUUCUCUGAUGUUAGCGGCGGACGGGUGAGUAACACGUGGAUAACCUACCUAUAAGACUGGGAUAACUUCGGGAAACCGGAGCUAAUACCGGAUAAUAUUUUGAACCGCAUGGUUCAAAAGUGAAAGACGGUCUUGCUGUCACUUAUAGAUGGAUCCGCGCUGCAUUAGCUAGUUGGUAAGGUAACGGCUUACCAAGGCAACGAUGCAUAGCCGACCUGAGAGGGUGAUCGGCCACACUGGAACUGAGACACGGUCCAGACUCCUACGGGAGGCAGCAGUAGGGAAUCUUCCGCAAUGGGCGAAAGCCUGACGGAGCAACGCCGCGUGAGUGAUGAAGGUCUUCGGAUCGUAAAACUCUGUUAUUAGGGAAGAACAUAUGUGUAAGUAACUGUGCACAUCUUGACGGUACCUAAUCAGAAAGCCACGGCUAACUACGUGCCAGCAGCCGCGGUAAUACGUAGGUGGCAAGCGUUAUCCGGAAUUAUUGGGCGUAAAGCGCGCGUAGGCGGUUUUUUAAGUCUGAUGUGAAAGCCCACGGCUCAACCGUGGAGGGUCAUUGGAAACUGGAAAACUUGAGUGCAGAAGAGGAAAGUGGAAUUCCAUGUGUAGCGGUGAAAUGCGCAGAGAUAUGGAGGAACACCAGUGGCGAAGGCGACUUUCUGGUCUGUAACUGACGCUGAUGUGCGAAAGCGUGGGGAUCAAACAGGAUUAGAUACCCUGGUAGUCCACGCCGUAAACGAUGAGUGCUAAGUGUUAGGGGGUUUCCGCCCCUUAGUGCUGCAGCUAACGCAUUAAGCACUCCGCCUGGGGAGUACGACCGCAAGGUUGAAACUCAAAGGAAUUGACGGGGACCCGCACAAGCGGUGGAGCAUGUGGUUUAAUUCGAAGCAACGCGAGGAACCUUACCAAAUCUUGACAUCCUUUGACAACUCUAGAGAUAGAGCUUUCCCCUUCGGGGGACAAAGUGACAGGUGGUGCAUGGUUGUCGUCAGCUCGUGUCGUGAGAUGUUGGGUUAAGUCCCGCAACGAGCGCAACCCUUAAGCUUAGUUGCCAUCAUUAAGUUGGGCACUCUAAGUUGACUGCCGGUGACAAACCGGAGGAAGGUGGGGAUGACGUCAAAUCAUCAUGCCCCUUAUGAUUUGGGCUACACACGUGCUACAAUGGACAAUACAAAGGGCAGCGAAACCGCGAGGUCAAGCAAAUCCCAUAAAGUUGUUCUCAGUUCGGAUUGUAGUCUGCAACUCGACUACAUGAAGCUGGAAUCGCUAGUAAUCGUAGAUCAGCAUGCUACGGUGAAUACGUUCCCGGGUCU